UAGGGAAUCUUCGGCAAUGGACGAAAGUCUGACCGAGCAACGCCGCGUGAGUGAAGAAGGUUUUCGGAUCGUAAAACUCUGUUGUUAGAGAAGAACAAGGACGUUAGUAACUGAACGUCCCCUGACGGUAUCUAACCAGAAAGCCACGGCUAACUACGUGCCAGCAGCCGCGGUAAUACGUAGGUGGCAAGCGUUGUCCGGAUUUAUUGGGCGUAAAGCGAGCGCAGGCGGUUUCUUAAGUCUGAUGUGAAAGCCCCCGGCUCAACCGGGGAGGGUCAUUGGAAACUGGGAGACUUGACUGCAGAAGAGGAGAGUGGAAUUCCAUGUGUAGCGGUGAAAUGCGUAGAUAUAUGGAGGAACACCAGUGGAGAAGGCGGCUCUCUGGUCUGUAACUGACGCUGAGGCUCGAAAGCGUGGGGAGCAAACAGG
rnacentral:rRNA from 1 species